AGAAGAAUGUCUUUCUACAUUCUCAAGGCUCCAAUUGAAGCACUAACAGGUACAUUUAUGCAAAAAUAUAAGAAGAAAAAUAAUGUAUGAUACCUGUAGUCCCUGAGGAGUAAACAAAUGUAUUUCGAUACGUGUACAUUUCCUGAAAGAAGAUUGAACUAUAAAUAGACUGCCAAUGGAUCAAAAUGCACUUUCAACACAAAAUCCAAUUAAUUUUGAAGAUGGCGCAAAACAAUUAGUUGAAAAUUGUACUCGUGACACCAGAAUGAUCAUCUUAUUAUAUCAUUAGCAAAUGAUUACAACUUGGUAUUUAUACUAAAUGAAAGAAGAAUCUUGUAGCUUAACAGUUUGUUGGAUCUAAUAUGCAUGCAAUACAAUUCGUUUGCUUUGCUGCUGAGCUGGAUAACUAACUAACACACGUAAGCAUUACCAGCUGCUUCAUUUAAUCAGAUGCCCUCAUCUAUACCAUAUUAUCAUACUCUGUAACAUCCCCCCUCAAGCUAAACUGACCUGGAUGGACAUUCAGCUUGCUUCUUAGGUAGUGAAACUGGUUGAAGGUUAAAGCCUUGGUAAGAACAUCUGCAUUUUGGUCUUCACUGGGAAUGAACUGAACUGUAAUUUGCUUAGCUGUUACUUUGUCCCUGAUGAAAUGAAUAUCAAGCUCAACAUGCUUAGUUUUAGCAUGAUAAACUGGAUUGUGAGCUAGAGCUAUAGCACUUUGAUUAUCACACCACAUUAUGGGGGCUGUGACUAGAUUAAUAUGCAGCUCUCUCAGUAAGGAUUGAAUCCAAGUGAUCUCAACUGUAGCUUGAGCCAAAGCUCUGUAUUUAGCUUUAGUGCUCGAUCUGGAAACUACUGCAUGUUUCUUAGAUGACCAAGAAACCAAAUUUGAACUAAGAUAAAUAGCAUAUCCAGCCACUGAUUUGCGAUCAUCUUUAUCACAUGCCCAAUCUGAGUCACUAAAACAAUUUAUCUGCAUAGUGCUGCAAUGAUAAAAGUGUAAUCCAAAAUGAAUUAUUGCUUUCAAAUAUCUAAGAAGGCUCUUGCAAGCCUCCCAGUGCUCUGCUGUUGGUGAAGCUAGAAACUGACUAAGUUUAUUUACAGAGAAGGCUAUCUCUGGCCUAGUGAGAGUCACAUAUUGUAAAGCUCCAACUAUACUUCUAUAUUGAGAAACAUUUGAAAUAACAUUUCCUGACCCUUUUGUAAGAUAAUGACCAGUUGACAUGGGAGUAGGAACUGGACUGCAGUCAGCUAUAUUGUGUUUGGCUAGAAGAUCAGCCAUGCAUUUUGACUGAGAGAGAUACAUUCCAGCUGCUGUUUUGGUAACUUAUAUCCCAAGAAAGAAAUUUAGUUUUCCCAGAUCCUUCAAAGCAAAUGCAUUUUACAUAUUUGUAACCACUUGCUGCACCAGUUGAUCACUGGAGUCUGUUAUGAUUAUAUCAUCCACAUAGACAAGGACAAAAAUUACAUGAUCACCUGUCCAUUUGUAGAAAAAAGAGUUGUCUGACUUUGAAUUUUGAAACCUCCAUUGCAUAACCAUAUCAUCUUUCAGUUUCUCAAACCAUGCCCUGGGGGCUUGUUUUAAACCAUAAAGUGCCUUCUUCAACUUACAGACAUGAUGAGGUUGAGAUAGAUCAAUAAAGCCAUCAGGCUGCCCCAUGUACACAUCUUCAACUAAUAUGCCAUUCAAAAAUGCAUUAUUCACAUCCACUUGUCUGAGCUCCCAUUUAUUCAUGACUGCCAAAUUUAAAAUAACCCUGACUGUUGAUGCUUUAACAACUGGACUGAAUGUUUAUGUGUAAUCAACUCCUUGUGUCUGAUGAAACCCCUUAGCCACCAAUCUGGCUUUGUAUCUAGAAAUGGUUCCAUCGACAUGAUAUUUUAUCUUGAAUAUCCAUUUGUUUCCAACUACCUUAACUGGUUCAUUUGGCAAGACCAGAUCCCAAGUAUGAUUGUUUUAGAAGUGCCUGAUAUUCUUCUUGCAUUGCCUUAAACCUUUUUGGAUAAGAUAAAGCUGCUGAAACAGAAGUAGGUUCUGAAGGUGUGGCUAGUAAAGCAGCUAGAUAGGAUUUAGGCUUAAAAAUACUGGCCUUGGAUCUGGUUAUCAUAGGAUGACUUAUAGGUGGUGCAGUAGGUAAUAUAUGAGGUGGAGAUUGUGUAGUAUGUAUAGGAUGUGUAUGUGAUGUUGAAGAAGAUGAUGAAGAAGAAGUUGAAGAUGUAGGGAAUACCUGUGGAGUGUCAGCAAGUAGGUAAUCAUUUGCUGGAGGUACUUGCAGAGGGGAUUGUACUUGUGGUAUUGAAACAAGAGUGACUUUGGACUCUGAAGAAAUAUCUGAGGAACUGCAAGACUGAGCAAUGGAAGAGAAAUCUGACCCAGACACAUAUGGAAAAGAUUGUUCAUCAAAGAUGACAUGGUUUGACAUAUAUACACGUCCAGAUGAAUGAAGACAUUGAUACCCUUUAUGAGAAGAGCUAUACCAAAUAAAGACACACCUGUUUGAUCUAAAACCAAGCUUGUGACUGUUAUAAGGUCUAAGAUAAGGAUAGCAAGCACACCCAAAGACUCUAAGAAAUGCAUAAUCUGGUACUUGCUGAAAAAGUUUUUGAUAAGGUGAAAUGUUGUUCAAAGUUGGUGUGGGUAGUCUGUUGAUAAGGAAUGCAACAGUAUGAAAAGCAUUCCACCAGAAUUUAAAUGGCAAAUUAGCUUGAGCUAACAGAGUGAGGCCAAUGUCAACUAUGUGUCUGUGUUUUCUCUCAAUUCUUCUAUUUUGAUGAUGGAUAUGUGGACAAGGAUGCCUGAACUGGAUUCCAAACUAAGUGAGAUAUGAUGAAAAGGUUCUAAACUCCCCUCCCCAAUCUGUUUGAACUGUUUUGAUAUGUUGUUGUAAGUGUUUUUCAAUGAAUGAUUUGAAUUCUGUGAAAACUUGAAGCGCAUCAAAUUUGGCAGACAAAGGAAAAAUCCAUGUAAAUCUGCUAAAGUCAUCUAAAAUGGACAAGUAAUAUAUAUAGCCUUGAGUGGAGGCAACAUGUGAUGGUCCCCAAAGAUCAGCAUAUAUGAGUUGUAAUUGUGCUGUUGUUUUUGUUGGAACAAAUCCAAAAUGUAAAAGAUGACUUUUACCAUGCUGACAGGCAUUGCAAAAAUUUGGAGUUUUAUUGAGUACAUUGUGACUAUUACAAGCUUUCAAUACAGAUUUGAGUGUGUGUAAGGCAGGAUGUCCUAGCCUUUUAUGAAGAAGAUUGAUAUCAACUGAACUAGUAUUGAUAGCCAAGGCUGAUUUACACAGCAAAUGAUUAAAAGAAGUACUCUUAUUUAUUUCAGAAGAAACAUCACUAGACAAAGGAGAAUGAUAAGCAAACAAAGACUGAGGUUUAUUGGAAGAAAGUUGACAUGACAAAGCUGAGCUAGUUUCAGAGAAUUGAGCUGCAGAUUGGACUUGAUACAAUCCCCCUGUUGCAAUUCCUCUAAGUGAAAUGAUCCAUGAGUUCCUGGCCUUGACAACACAAACAUUUUAAAAAAACUCAAGUGUCACAUUGUUAUCUACUAAGAGUUUUGAAACACAGAGUAAAUUCUUUUUAAUAUUUGGAACAUGAAAAACAUGGUUUAAAGACAAGGGUUUAUUUGUAGUAGUAGCUAGCAAUACUGAUCCAAUGUGUUUAAUAUGCAAUGCAGAACCAUUUCCAACAAGCUAUUUGUCAGUUCCAACAUAUGGAUUAAGAUCCAGUAAUUUACCUGAAUCAUUUGUGAUGUGGUUAGUAGCACCACUGUUAAUAUACCAGGCUGGAUCUUCAAUCAUCUCAGGUGCAUGAGCUGGAGCAGGAACUGAAGGAAUUGAGAGUGAUCAUGGAGAUCCAGAGUAAUCUCCAGUUGGAACAAAAGCAUGUGCAAGGGAGUAAACACCAUGAGAGUUAGUUUGUUAGUAAACAUUGAAUGCAGCUGGAUCCGAGUACAUCAAAUGACCUUGAUAACCAGGUGCUCUUGGUAUGUUGAAAUUCCCAAACUGAGAGUUACCAAUUCCAGCACCAAAUUGAGGAUUAAAAUUUCUACCAAAAUUUCCAUAAAUCAUAUAAGAUCUAUGACCAUUUGCAUAGCCAAAUCCUCUACCAUACUGCCUCUGACCAGGCCUAAAAUUUCCAUUAAAACCACCUCUUCCUUGAUUUCUUGAAGAAACAAAGGUUGAAUUAAACAUAUUUCUGCAUUGAUUGGCACUAUGACCAGGAAUAAAGCAGAUCUGACAAACAAUUUGUGAGAAGUUACCAUCACCAGAUCCAGCUCCAGAAUUAUAAACUCCUCCAUAAGGUCUAGUGUUAAACUUUUGAUUGUCACCAGUAUUUUUACCAGGAUUGAACUGCUUUUGAGCAACAUUAGCUGACAAGUUAUGUAUAACAUCACUUGCAAUUUUUCCUCUCUUUUGUUCCACUCGAUUUUCAUGACUCAGUAACAAUGAAUAAACUCAUCAAGAUUGAUAUUAUCUCCUCUAGCUAACACAAUAGUGACUAAUGAUUCAUAAUCAGAUGAAUCCAAUCCAAUUAAAACAUGUUGAACAAAAUCAUUCACUUGAACAGGUUUUCCAGCUAAAGCUAAGCUAUCAGAUAUCCUUUUCAUUUUUGCAAAAUAAUCAAUCAUGGACAUUGAGCCUUUUUUAAGAGUUUGGAUAUGCAUUUUUAGAGGCAUUAUUCUAGCUUGGGACUGAGAGACAAACAUACUUGUAAGUGUAUCCAGUAGCUCUUUUGCAGUUGAGCAGUGGAUCACUGUUGUCAGCAGAUUUGGCUGAAUGGAUGACAUCAUCCAACUCAGAAUCAAUUGAUCCGUCUUUAUCCACAUUGUGUAAGCUGGAUUGAUCUCUUGAUUCUCUGUUCCAGUUGAGAAACCAGCGAAAGAGCUCGUAGCAGAGAAAUUUUUUUUUUGGACAGACUUGAUUUCCAUUGAUGAAAUCUUCUAAACCAUUUCCUUUGAUGGAUGUAAGGAUUUGAAUUCGCCAAACAAUGAAGUUAUUAUGAUCUAGUUUUACUUGAGUAAUAAAACUAUAGGAUCCAGAAUUUUGAUUUGAGUUUACCAUUUGUUUGCUCUGAUACCAUGAAAGAGUUCGUACACAGUGUUUGGUUUAAGAGAAACUACGAGAAAGUGAUAGAAAAUUAUAAAAGAAAGCUCUGAAAAUGAUCAUCUUAUUAUAUCAUUAACAAAUGAUUACAACUUGGUAUUUAUACUAAAUGAAAGAAGAAUCUCGUAGCUUAACAAUUUGUUGGAUCUAAUAUGCAUGCAAUACAGUUCGUUUGCUUUGAUGCUGAGCUAGAUAACUAACUAACACACGUAAGCAUUACCAACUGCUUCAUUUAAGCAGAUGUCCUCAUCUAUACCAUAUUAUCAUACUCUGUAACACAGAGCAAGAAAAUACAAUAAGAAGGAAGCAUCUGAAACAAGAAAAUGAAAAAAUCAGUUCAUUGUCUCCCGCAGCUGGCGCGAUGGCUACGGUUGAACGAGGCUACAAUGACAACUCCUGUCGAUGAGGUGCCUGAAUCACGAUCAUUGCCGCGAACUAGCUACGACUCUGAAUCACGACCACGAUCGGCCCUACGAGCUAAUAAAAAAAAUUGAAUCGAUUGGCAGCGGUGGAUGGUGCGUGAGUGAUGGGCUGACGAUAGUGAAAUUGACAGAGUGAGACGAUGAGACUGGAGAGGAAGAUGGUGAGACCGUGAGAGAGAGAGAGAGAGAGACCAACGAUGGAGAGAGUGGAAGUGAGCAUGAAAGAGAGAGAGAGAGACAGGAGAUGGAGAGAAUGAGAGUGAGCGUGUGAGAGAGAGGGGGGCCAUGGCUGCUGCUGUCCUUGUAGAAUUAGAAAUGAGGUCAUGAUUUUUUUGUUUUAUAUUUUAGCCGAUUAGGAUUUUUUUAUAAAUAUUUUACACGGUUACAUCUAAAACCGUCAUUGUUAUUUUUAACUUAAAUGACGGUUCUUUACAACCGUCGUUAAUACUUGAAUAAGACAUCUAAUGACGGUUUUUAUAUAUAACUGUCAUUAAAAUAAAGUUAUAUUUUAUUUUGAUAUUUAAUGAUUGUUAUAUAAUAAAAUGAUUAUAAAAAAAUUAUACUUUUAAUGAUCGUUUUUAUACAAAAACAUCGUUAAAAGUAACUAAAAAUAAAAUUAUAUUUUAACUUGACAUUUAGUAACUGUUAUAUAAUAUAAUCGUCAUUGUAAAUAUUAUACAUUAAUAAUCAUUUUUAUACACAAAUGUCAUUAAAAAUAAGACUAUUUUUUACUUGACAUUUAAUAAAUGUUAUAUAAUACAAUCGUCAUUGUAAAUAUUAGAUAUUAUGACGGCUCAUAUAAUAACGAUCAUCACAUAUUACCUUAUUGUUAACUUUUUAUUCACACGAAAACAUAUAUUAAAUUCUUAUCUUUAGUGCUCCAUUUUUUAAUUUUAAUUUUAAUUUAUAUCAUUAAUUUAAUUUAUAAUGAAUAUGAAUAAAAUUGUAUUUGAAAACAAGAGUAAUAAUAUAAAAUUAUACUUCGAGGGAGGUUAUAGGCUAUAUAAAAACAAUAAAGGGGUAUACAUACAUAAACUCUGGCUGUGUACGUUGUCCUGAAAUACCUUUACUGAGAAAUGAGAAGGAAGGAUACAAUAUUGAAUUUUCUUAGCAAAUAUUUGAUACUGACUGCAUUUCCUAAUGCGACAACUGACUAGAACAUUCACUGUAUGUGAAUGUUUUAGAAAGAAAAUUGUGCUAUUUUUGUAGAGAUGAUGAGAAAUUUCAACAUUCAAAAAAAUAAAUAGGAGACUUAUUCAAUCUCGGUGGCGUCUCACCAUUUAAUUUUAUGGUGCAAUAAGAGUCCUUGCUCUUUCCUGGAAAUGUAGGAAAGGGGGAUAUUUCGCCAUCCAACAGUGCUUUACACAAAGCAACGUUUUUGGACUCCAGUUAGUAGUAGGCAAUUCGCACUUUACUUGUACGAUCAAAUAUUACUAUAUUAGGCAAUUUGUACUUGACUUGUAUGAUGAAUACGACAGGCAAUUGAUUUGCCCUCGACUUUUAUCACGAAUUUGCUGGAAAUAAUAAAUUCGAAUUUGUAGAGAUGUCAAUCUAUUUGUCGGUAAAAAUAUCAUAUUUUUCUUGUAUGUUGUUUUACUUUUUUUAAUGUUUCAUUCAACACAAUAAAUAAUAUAUGGUAUUAAAAGGUUAUGGUGGAUCAAAGUGGUAAAUAUAGCUUCUAAGAGUGAGAAAAGUGUCCUUCACAUAUUCACAGCCUACAUGAUGGUGAUAUUCGUCGCAGUUUUGCCAAAUUCCAUCAUUUAGAUAUUUAAAUAUUUCAUUUUCAAAUUACUUUUAGAAAUUUUAGGUAAUUCAUCAUUUUGUUAAAAAAACUCCAAUGCCAUCUCAUGAAGAUGCAAUUACAACAAAUGGUACAAGGAAUUAAUAAUCAAUCAGCUCCUACCUGUACGUGUCAUCGAUCAAGGAAUUUAAGCAGCACCAUUCCACAUGUAUUUAAAUACUUAAGAUUAUUAAAAGACUAUAUAUACAGUCCUUCUAUCUCAUAGGCUGGUCCCAUUUUUUUUUUUUUUAUACAGACACGCUCUUAAGGCAUAUGAUUUAAUAAAAUCAAUAUUUAAUAUACUAUUAAAACAUGUGGUUUAAUAAAGUUACUAUUUAAUUAAUUGUAAAAUCAUAUGACUUUAUAAUGUUUACACGUGAAAAAAAAGGGGAGCGUUGUAGGUGCCCUCAUUUUUUUUUAUACAGACACACUUUCAAGCCAUGCAAUUUAAUAGAAUCAAAUUUUAAUACUAUUAAGCUGCACGACUUUAUAGUGCUUAAAAAAUAAAUCAAUUUAGCUGCACGACUUAGCAAUAUAUUCGUAUUAAAAAAUAAAAAAUAAGGGCACCCACACCUUAUAUAUAUGACUCAUUUUCUAGUGCGGGUGCCUUUAUUAUUAUUUUUUUUCAUACGGACAUGCUUUUUAACCAUAAGAUUUGAGAGAGUUGGUUUUUAACUCUCUUAAACUCCAAGACUUUAUGUUCAUUCAAAAACUAAAUUUCUUAAACCUCACAGUUUAAAAGCAUUUCUAUGUUAAAAAGAACAUGGAUCCCGCACCUGAGAAUGAUUAUAUAUAUAUUAGUCAUGGGACAUUUUCACAUUUAUGAUUAUGUGUUUAAUCCCAUGGAGCGAUAACCUAUUUAAUUGGAACAUUAUUAGCACCGAUGCCUUUCAAACAUGUAACUUACGCAAUUUGAACACGUGAUGAUUUCUGUUUAUGGUUGGGGCUGCUCGAUCAAAAUUUCUUUAUUAGCUGAGAUAGCCCCCCACCUUGACCCUUUGAGACAUGCUUGGACGUAUGUUAAUAACAGAAUAUUAAUUAAUGUUAGCAAUUUCCACACACACACACACACACACACUAUAUAUAAAGGUUUAGCGUUCCAUAAACUAAGCACUACUCUUCAGCAUCCAUACAGCACCUUGUUAGUUUCUCCAUUAUAUCCUAAUUAGCCUAAGAAGAUGGGUUCAUUCCAAGAUGAUCACCAAGGCAUGUUGAAACCAGCAAGGGACGAGCAAGACUUCUUGUUGGCCAUGGAACUCGCUUCCGGCGCAGUACUUCCAAUGACCAUUAAAUCUGCCACUGAGCUUGGUUUGUUGGAGAUAAUGGCGAAAGUUAGCCCAACUCAACUCUCGUCUUCAGAGAUUGCCUCUCAGCUGCCCACAAAUAACAAAAAAGCCCCAAUAAUACUGGACAGAAUGCUGCGCCUCCUAGCCAGUUACUCUUUUCUCACAUGUAAUCUUGUCUCGAACAAAGACGGAAGUGUUCAGAGAUUAUAUGGCUUGACACCGGUUUCCAAAUAUUUUGUUCCAAAUGAAGAUGGAGUUUCUCUUGCUCCCACUCUGCUCAUAAUUCAGGACAAAAUUAGUAUGGAUUCUUGGUAAUUUGCUUUCUAAUUUCCUUGUACUCACAUUAAUUGUAUCUGUAGACGUUAUAACAUAAUAUAUGCACUCAAUUAAUUAAUACUCAUAUGUGUGCAUGAUAUCUUCUGACAGGUCCUGCGCGAAGGAUGCUUUAUUGGAAGGGUCGGUACCAUCUAUGAAGGCACAUAAUGGAAUGGAUUUAUUUGCGGCUGCCGCCAAAGAUGAAAGAAUAAAUAACCUCUUCAAUCAAUCAAUGCACAAUCACACAACUAUAGUCAUGAAGGAAAUUCUUGAGAUCUACAAGGGAUUUGAAGGGCUGAACCAAUUGGUGGAUGUUGCCGGUGGCUUAGGUGCAAAUCUUAAAUCAGUUGUUUCUAAAUAUCCACAAUUAAGGGGGAUUAACUUUGAUUUACCUCAUGUCCUCAAACAUGCACCCUCUUGUCCAGGUAUAUAAUUAUUCACGUAUACGUCACUCGUUGCCAGCUUAUUUAAUUUUGUAGAUCCUCCUCUUACGUAAAAUUUUUUCGAUUAAUUAUCAUUUUAAAAACAACGACAAUUUCAUUUUUUUCCCUUGUGUUUUAAUUCUCUUGCAGGUGUGGAGCAUGUUGGAGGAGAUAUGUUUGUUGAAGUUCCUAAAGGACAAGCUAUUUUCAUGAAGGUUAGUUCUCUACUUAAUAUUUAAUUAUUGAAAUAGAAAAUAAAAUAUUGAUUAUGUAUGUCAAUUCCGAAAAUUUUGAAAUUUCACGAAAUGUUCAUAAAAAUUAAACUCUCAGUGGAUACUUCAUGACUGGAGCGAUGAAGACUGUUCGAAGAUACUAAAGAACUGCUACGAAGCAAUACCGGUAUCCGGAAAGGUCAUUUUGGUGGAAUCAAUAGUGCCAGAAUUCCCAGAGACUGAUAUUGUAAGCAAGAAUAUAGCAAGUCUUGACGUACACCUCUCCAAUCAAUUUCCCGGAGCAAAGGAGAGGACAUUGGCGGAGUUCAAGGCCUUGGCAACAGGAGCUGGAUUUGCAGAUAUUAAAGUUAUAUGUCGUGUUUACUGCUAUUGGGUCAUUGAAUUCUACAAAACGAUCUAAGCAUAACGAUUUACGAGUGCUGGUCAUUUUAUGGUUCGCAUGCAUUUUCUUUUUCUUUUUUUAAAUUAAAUGACAGAAUCCUGUCCUUAUUCUGUCUGAUCAACACUUCUAUCUCUUCCCACGUUUCAAUAAUUUCUAGGCAUUGUUCAUUUUGUUCCUCCAUGACUUUUGUAAUUUCAUUUCUUAUAGCAAUAAUAAACUCGCCUCUUAUUGAGAUUUAUUAAAAAUAAUUUUCUUCAUUUCUCAUAAUUGUGCUUUACAAAAUAUCCAGCUAUAGGGGCUCAUAGUCCAAACCAGUGCACCCAGUUCUGGAAAUUCCAAUUCAUAUUUUUUUUGGCUGCUGUUUUUACUGCUGUCAUGCGGUAAAACAGAGCAGUCUUACUGCAAUGUUUUUGCUGCCGUUUUGACUGUACAACAGCAGGAAAAACAGAAAAAAAAUUGUAAUUUGGUUGCAGCAAAAACAACAGAAAAACUAUAAUUUGGCUGUUGUUUUUACUGUUAUCAUGCGGCGAAAAUACAGCAGUCUCACUGCAAAAAUUUUGCCACUAUUCUUACUGUAUAACAAUAGCAAUACAUCACCUUAAAUAAGAGAAAAAAAUUCUUUCAGCUACUGCACAUUCAAUUUAAUUUAACUUAAAUCCUUCAUAUUGUAGAGAGUGAGAGAUUGAUUCUAUAGAAUAAAGAGAAAUUAAGAUCAUUCAUAAAUUAUAAGCCAGUAUCUUCACCAUGACUGGCAACUUCCGCAAGCAAUUCAUUUGCUCUUUUCCACGAGGACUCAUCAGAACUGAAUAAGCAAACAACACCAUUAUAAAAGAAUGAAUAUAUAUCUGAUAUGAAAUGAGCAAAACCUAGGUUAUGAGCAGCACAGAAGUGCAAAAAGAAAAAAAGGGAAUGUCUUUCUCUGUAAAUACAUGUAGAUAGAUGUUUGCAGAUGCAUGCAAGGGAAAGAAGAAUGUCUUUCUACAUUCUCAAGGCUCCAAUUGAAGCACUAACAGGUACAUUUAUGCAAAAAUAUAAGAAGAAAAAUAAUGUAUGAUACGUGUAGUCCCUGAGGAGUAAACAAAUGUAUUUCGAUAUGUGUACAUUUCCUGAAAGAAGAUUGAACUAUAAAUAGACUGCCAAUGGAUCAAAAUGCACUUUCAGCACAAAAUCCAAUUAAAUUUGAAGAUGGCGCAAAACAAUUAGUUGAAAAUUGUACUCGUGACACCAGAAUGAAUCGCAUAACAAUUCUUUCACAGAGCUUUCAGCAAAUAUAUAGCUCAAAAAUCAGAUUUAGCACAGUCAACGCCAAAGCAAAGCAGUAUACACUAAAUGGGAACAAAUUUUUUUCUCAAUUACAUUAGUAUAAGUCCAAUGCAGGGGAAAAAAUCCACUUUCAAAAUGAAUUACAACUUAAUAACAACAACAACAACAAUCAACUAAAAAGUAAGCAAGAAUCAUAAACAAACAAUUUAUAAACCAAAUGAGAUGAAAAAUUCUUUAUUAAAUUAAUAGAAGGUCAGCUAACAGGAAAUGAAGAGAACAAACAAUAAUUGGAUGAAUCAAAACCCCAGAGUGAAAGAGUUCGUACACAGUGUUUGGUUUAAGAGAAACUAACGAGAAAGUGAUAGAAAAUUAUAAAAGAAAGCUCUGAAAAUGAUCAUCUUAUUAUAUCAUUAACAAAUGAUUAAAACUUGGUAUUUAUACUAAAUGAAAGAAGAAUCCCGUAGCUUAACAGUUUGUUGGAUCUAAUAUGCAUGCAAUACAAUUCGUUUGCUUUGCUGCUGAGCUGGAUAACUAACUAACACACGUAAGCAUUACCAGCUAUUUCAUUUAAUCAGAUGCCCUCAUCUAUACCAUAUUAUCAUACUCUGUAACAUCCCCCCCUCAAGCUGAACUGACCUGGAUGGACAUUCAGCUUGCUUCUUAGGUAGUGAAAUUGGUUGAAGGUUAAACCCUUGGUAAGAACAUCUGCAUUUUGGUCUUCACUGGGAAUGAACUGAACUGUAAUUUGCUUAGUUGUUACUUUGUCCCUGAUGAAAUGAAUAUCAAGCUCAACAUGCUUAGUUUUAGGAUGAUAAACUGGAUUGUGAGCUAGAGCUAUAGAACUUUGAUUAUCACACCACAUUAUGGGGGUUCUGACUAGAUUAAUAUGCAGCUCUCUCAGUAAGGACUGAAUCCAAGUGACCUCAGCUGUAGCUUGAGCCAAAGCUCUGUAUUUAGCUUCAGUGCUCCAUCUGGAAACUACUGCAUGUUUCUUAAAUGACCAAGAAACCAAAUUUAAACCAAGAUAAACAGCAUAUCCAGCCACUGAUUUGCGAUCAUCCUUAUCACAUGCCCAAUCUGAGUCAUUAAAACAAUUUAUCUGCAUAGUGCUGCAAUGAUAAAAGUGUAAUCCAAAAUGAAUUGUUCCUUUCAAAUAUCUAAGAAGCCUCUUGCAAGCCUCCUAGUGCUCUGCUGUUGGUGAAGCUAGAAACUAACUAAGUUUAUUUACAGAGAAGGCUAUCUCUGGCCUAGUGAGAGUCACAUAUUGUAAAGCUCCAACUGCACUUCUAUAUUGAGAAACAUUUGAAAUAACAUUUCCUGACCCUUUUGUAAGAUAAUGACCAGUUGACAUGGGAGUAGGAACUGGACUGCAGUCAGCCAUAUUAUGUUUGGCUAGAAGAUCAGCUAUGUAUUUUAACUGAGAGAGAUACAUUUCAGCUGCUGUUUUGGUAACUUAUAUCCCAAGAAAGUAAUUUAGUUUUCCCAGAUCCUUCAAAGCAAAGGCAUUUUACAUAUUUGUAACCACUUGCUGCACCAGUUGAUCACUGGAGUCUGUUAUGAUUAUAUCAUCCACAUAGACAAGGACAAAAAUUACAUGACCACCUGUCCAUUUGUAGAAAAGAGAGUUAUCUGACUUUGAAUUUUGAAACCUCCAUUGCAUAACCAUAGCAUCUUUCAAUCUCUCAAACCAUGCCUUGGGGGCUUGUUUUAAACCAUAAAGUGCCUUCUUCAACUUACAUACAUGAUGAGGUCGAGAUGGAUCAAUAAAGCCAUCAGGCUGCCCCAUGUACACAUCUUCAACUAAUAUGCCAUUAAAAAAUGCAUUAUUCACAUCCACUUGUCUGAGCUCCCAUUUAUUCAUGACUGCCAAACUUAAAAUAACCCUGACUGUUGAUGCUUUAACAACUGGACUGAAUGUUUAUGUGUAAUCAACUCCCUGUGUCUGAUGAAACCCCUUAGCCACCAACUUGGCUUUGUAUCUAGAAAUGGUUCCAUCGACAUGAUAUUUUAUCUUGAAUAUCCAUUUGUUUCCAACUACCUUAACUGGUUCAUUUGGCAAGACCAGAUCCCAGGUAUGAUUGUUUUGAAGUGCCUGAUAUUCUUCCUGCAUUGCCUUAAACCAUUUUGGAUCAGAUAAAGCUGCUGAAACAGAAGUAGGUUCUGAAGGUGUGGCUAGUAAAGCAGCUAGAUAGGAUUUAGGCUUAAAAAUACCAGCCUUGGAUAUGGUUAUCAUAGGAUGACCUAUAAGUGGUGCAGCAUGUAAUAUAUGAGGUGGAGAUUGUGUAGUAUGUAUAGGAUGUGUAUGUGAUGUUGAAGAAGAUGAUGAAGAAGAAGUUGAAGAUGUAGGGAAUACAUGUGGAGUGUCAGCAGGUAGGUAAUCAUUUGCUGGGGGUACUUGCAGAGGGGAUUGUACUUGUGGUAUUGAAACAAUAGUGACUCUGGACUCUGAAGAAAUAUCUGAAGAACUGCAAGACUGGGCAAUGGAAGAGAAAUCUGACCCAGACACAUAUGGAAAAGAUUGUUCAUAAAAAAUGACAUGGUUUGACAUAUAUACACGUCCAGAUGAAUGAAGACAUUGAUACCCUUUAUGAGAAGAGCUAUACCCAAUAAAGACACACAUGUUUGAUCUAAAACCAAGCUUGUGACUGUUAUAAGGUCUAAGAUAAGGAUAGCAAGCACACCCAAAGACUCUAAGAAAUGCAUAAUCUGGUACUUGCUGAAAAAGUUUUUGAUAAGGUGAAAUGUUGUUCAAAGUUAGUGUGGGUAGUCUGUUGAUAAGGAAUACAGCAGUAUGAAAAGCAUUCCACCAGAAUUUAAGUGGCAAAUUAGCUUGAGCUAACAGAGUGAGGCCAAUGUCAACUAUGUGUCUGUGUUUUCUCUCAAUUCUUCUAUUUUGAUAAUGGAUAUGUGGACAAGGAUGCCUGAACUGGAUUCCAAACUGAGUGAGAUAUGAUGAAAAGGUUCUAAACUCCCCUCCCCAAUCUGUUUAAACUGUUUUGAUAUGUUGUUGUAAGUGUUUUUCAAUGAAUGAUUUGAAUUCUGUGAAAACUUGAAGUGUAUCAGAUUUGGCAAAAAAAGGAAUCCAUGUAAAUCUACUAAAGUCAUCUAAAAUGGACAAGUAAUAUAUAUAACCUUGAGUGGAGGCAACAUGUGAUGGUCCCCAAAGAUCAGCAUAUAUGAGUUGUAAUGGUGCUGUUGUUUUUGUUGGAACAUAUCCAAAAUGUAAAAGAUGACUUUUACCAUGCUGACAGGCAUUGCAAAAAUUUGGAGUUUUAUUGAGUACAUUGUGACUAUUACAAGCUUUCAAUACAGAUUUGAGUGUGUGUAAGGCAGAAUGUCCUAGCCUUUUAUGAAGAAGAUUGACAUCAACUGAACUAGUAUUGACAGCCAAGGCUGAUUUACACAGCAAAUGAUUAAAGAAGUACUCUUGUUUAUUUCAGAAGAAACAUCACUAGACAAAGGAGAAUGAUAAGCAAACAAAGACUGAGGUUUAUUGGAAGAAAGUUGACAUAACAAAGCUGAGCUAGUUUCAGAGAAUUGAGCUGCAAAUUGGACUUGAUACAAUCCCCCUGUUGCAAUUCCUCUAAGUAAAAUGAUCCCUGAGUUCCUAGCCUUGACAACACAAACAUUUUAAAAAAACUCAAUUGUCACAUUGUUAUCUACUAAGAGUUUUGAAACACUGAGUAAAUUCUUUUUAAUAUUUGGAACAUGAAGAACAUGGUUUAAAGACAAGGGUUUAUUUAUAGUAGUAGUUAGCAAUACUGAUCCAAUAUGUUUAAUAUGCAAUGCAGAACCAUUUCCAACAAGCAAUUUGUCAGUUCCAACAUAUGGCUUAAGAUCCAGUAAUUUACCUGAAUCAUUUGUGAUGUGGUUAGUAGCACCACUGUUAAUAUACCAGGCUGGAUCUUCAAUCAUCUUAGGUGCAUGAGCUGGAGCAGGAACUGAAGGAAUUGAGAGUGAUGAUGGAGAUCCAGAGUAAUCUCCAGUUGGAACCAAAGCAUGUGCAGGGGAGUAAACACCAUGAGAGUUAGUUUGUUGGUAAACAUUGAAUGCAGCUGGAUCUGAGUACAUCAAAUGACCUUGAUAACCAGGUGCUCUUGGUAUGUUGAAAUUCCCAAACUGAGUGUUACCAAUUCCAGUACCAAAUUAAGGAUUAAAAUUUCUACCAAAAUUUCCAUAAAUCAUAGAAGAUCUAUGACCAUUUGCAUAGCCAAAUCCUCUACCAUACUGCCUCUGACCAUGCCUAAAAUUUCCAUUAAAACCACCUCUUCCUUGAUUUCUUGAAGAAACAAAGGCUGAAUUAAACCUAUUUCUGCAUUUAUUGGCACUAUGACCAGGAAUAAAGCAGAUCUGACAAACAAUUUGUGAGAAGUUACCAUCACCAGAUCCAGCUCCAGAAUUAUAAACUCCUCCAUAAGGUCCAGUGUUAAACUUUUGAUUGCCACCAGUAUUUUUACCAGGAUUGAACUGCUUUUGAGAAACAUUAGCUGACAAGUUAUGUGUAACAUCACUUGCAAUUUUUCCUCUCUUUUGUUCCACUCGAUUUUCAUGACUCAGCAACAAUGAAUAAAACUCAUCAAGAUUGAUAUUAUCUCCUCUAGCUAACACAAUAGUGACUAAUGAUUCAUAAUCAGAUGAAUCCAAUCCAGUUAAAACAUGUUGAACAAAAUCAUUCACUUCAACAAGUUUUCCAGCUAAAGCUAAGCUAUCAGAUAUCCUUUUCAUUUUUGCAAAAUAAUCAAUCAUGGACAUUGAGCCUUUUUUAAGAGUUUGGAUAUGCAUUUUUAGAGGCAUUAUUCUAGCUUGGGACUGAGAGACAAACAUACUUGUAAGUGUAUCCAAUAGCUCUUUUGCAGUUGAGUAGUGGAUCACUGUUGUCAGCAGAUUUGGCUGAAUGGAUGACAUCAUCCAACUCAGAAUCAAUUGAUCCGUCUUUAUCCACAUUGUGUAAGCUGGAUUGAUCUCUUAAUUCUCUGUUCCAGUUGAGAAACCAGCAAUAGAGCUCGUAGCAGAGAUAUUUUUUUUUGGACAUACUUGAUUUCCAUUGAUGAAAUCAUCUAAACCAUUUCCUUUGAUGGAUGUAAGGAUUUGAAUUCGCCAAACAAUGAAGUUAUUAUGAUCUAGUUUUACUGGAGUAAUAAAAUUAUAGGAUCCAUAAUUUUGAUUUAAGUUUGCCAUUUGUUUGCUCUGAUACCGUGAAAGAGUUCGUACACAGUGUUUGGUUUAAGAGAAACUAACGAGAAAGUGAUAGAAAAUUAUAAAAGAAAGCUCUGAAAAUGAUCAUCUUAUUAUAUCAUUAACAAAUUAUUACAACUUGGUAUUUAUACUAAAUGAAAGAAGAAUCUCGUAGCUUAACAGUUUGUUGGAUCUAAUAUGCAUGCAAUACAAUUCGUUUGCUUUGCUGCUGAGCUAGAUAACUAACUAACACACAUAAGCAUUACCAGCUGCUUCAUUUAAUCAGAUGCCCUCAUCUAUACCAUAUUAUCAUACUCUGUAACACAGAGCAAGAAAAUACAAUAAGAAGGAAGCAUUUGAAAAAAAGAAAAUGAAAUAAACAGCUCACUAUCUCCCGCAGCCGGCGCGAUGGCUACGGUUGAACGAGGCUACAAUGACAACUGCUGUCGAUGAGGUGCCUGAAUCAUGAUCAUUGCCGCGAACUAGCUACGACUCUGAAUCACGACCACGAUCGGCCCUACGAAGCUAAUAAAAAAAAUUGAAUUGAUUGGCAGCGGUGGAUGGUGCGUGAGUGAUGGGCUGACGAUAGUGAAAUUGAUAGAGUGAGACGAU
rnacentral:lncRNA from 1 species